rnacentral:rRNA from 1 species
CUCGUAGGCGGUUCAGUAAGUCGGCUGUGAAAUUCCGAGGCUCAACCUCGGAACUGCAGUCGAUACUAUUGUGACUAGAGUCCGGUAGAGGAGAAUGGAAUUCCCGGUGUAGCGGUGAAAUGCGCAGAUAUCGGGAGGAACACCAGUAGCGAAGGCGGUUCUCUGGGCCGGCACUGACGCUGAGGAGCGAAAGCGUGGGGAGCAAACA